CGUGCAGGCGGAUUGUUAAGUCAGCCGUGAAAGCUCCCGGCUAAACUGGGAGAGGUCGGUUGAAACUGGCGAUCUUGAGUGAGAUAGAGGUGAGUGGGAUUCCGCGUGUAGUGGUGAAAUGCGUAGAUAUGCGGAGGAACACCAGAGGCGAAGGCGGCUCACUGGAUCUCAACUGACGCUGAGACGCGAAAGCGUGGGUAGCGAACG
rnacentral:rRNA from 1 species